rnacentral:rRNA from 1 species
CGAAUUGCGAUAUGUAAUGUGAAUUGCAGAAUUCAGUGAAUCAUCGAAUCUUUGAACGCACAUUGUA